CGGCGUGCCUAACACAUGCAAGUCAACUUGACUGAAGGAGCAAUCUGACAGUAGAGUGGCGCAAGGGUGCGUAACGCGUAAGUAACUUGCCCAAGGUAAGGAAUAACGUCGAGAAAUCGGCGCUAAUACCUCAUAAUGCAGCGGAUCCGCAUGGAUAUGUUGUUAAAGGUUUACCGCCUUGGGAUAGGCUUGCGUCUGAUUAGCUAGUUGGUGUGGUAACGGCACACCAAGGCUACGAUCAGUAACUGGUCUGAGAGGAUGAUCAGUCACACUGGAACUGAGACACGGUCCAGACUCCUACGGGAGGCAGCAGUGAGGAAUAUUGGGCAAUGCUCGAAAGAGUGACCCAGCAACGCCGCGUGGAGGAUGAAGGUAUUCUAUAUCGUAAACUCCCGUGAGAGCAGACGAAAGACAGAUUAUUAAUCUGGAUGACUGUAUGCUCAGAGGAAGCCCCGGCUAACUACGUG
rnacentral:rRNA from 1 species